AGAAGGGAGCUUGCUCCCGGAUGUUAGCGGCGGACGGGUGAGUAACACGUGGGUAACCUGCCUGUAAGACUGGGAUAACUCCGGGAAACCGGAGCUAAUACCGGAUAGUUCCUUGAACCGCAUGGUUCAAGGAUGAAAGACGGUUUCGGCUGUCACUUACAGAUGGACCCGCGGCGCAUUAGCUAGUUGGUGGGGUAAUGGCUCACCAAGGCGACGAUGCGUAGCCGACCUGAGAGGGUGAUCGGCCACACUGGGACUGAGACACGGCCCAGACUCCUACGGGAGGCAGCAGUAGGGAAUCUUCCGCAAUGGACGAAAGUCUGACGGAGCAACGCCGCGUGAGUGAUGAAGGUUUUCGGAUCGUAAAGCUCUGUUGUUAGGGAAGAACAAGUGCGAGAGUAACUGCUCGCACCUUGACGGUACCUAACCAGAAAGCCACGGCUAACUACGUGCCA
rnacentral:rRNA from 1 species